rnacentral:rRNA from 1 species
ACUGCGAGUGAAGCGGGAAAAGCUCAAAUUUAAAAUCUGGCAGUCUUUGGCUGUCCGAGUUGUAUUCUAGAGAAGCGCUUUCCGUGCCGGACCGUGUACAAGUCUCUUGGAACAGAGCGUCAUAGAGGGUGAGAAUCCCGUCUUUGACACGGACUACCGGUGCUUUGUGAUGCGUUUUCAAAGAGUCGAGUUGUUUGGGAAUGCAGCUCAAAAUGGGUGGUAAAUUCCAUCUAAAGCUAAAUAUUGGCGAGAGACCGAUAGCGAACAAGUACCGUGAGGGAAAGAUGAAAAGCACUUUGGAAAGAGAGUUAAACAGUACGUGAAAUUGCUGAAAGGGAAACGCUUGAAGUCAGUCGCGUCGUUCAGAACUCAGCCUGGCUUUUGCUCGGUGCACUUUCUGAAUGACGGGCCAGCAUCAAUUUUGACUGUCGGAUAAAGGCCAGAGAAAUGUGGCUCCUUUGGGAGUGUUAUAGUCUCUGGUUGCAUACGAUGGUUGGGAUUGAGGAACUCAGCAUGCCUUUAUGGUCGGGGUUCGCCCACGUUCAUGCUUAGGAUGCUGGCGUAAUGGCUUUAAACGACCCGUCUUGAAACACGGACCAAGGAGUCUAACAUGCCUGCGAGUGUUUGGGUGGAAAACCCGAGCGCGCAAUGAAAGUGAAAGUUGGGAUCCCUGUCGUGGGGAGCACUGACGCCCGGACCAGACCUUCUGUGACGGAUCCGCGGUAGAGCAUGUAUGUUGGGACCCGAAAGAUGGUGAACUAUGCCUGAAUAGGGUGAAGCCAGAGGAAACUCUGGUGGAGGCUCGUAGCGAUUCUGACGUGCAAAUCGAUCGUCAAAUUUGGGUAUAGGG